rnacentral:rRNA from 1 species
GAGGGGUAAGGUUCAGCUUGCUGAACACACGACCGGCGGACGGGUGAGUAACGCGUUUGCAACCUACCCUUAACAGGAGGAUAGCUUCCGGAAACGGAAAUUAAUACUUCAUAAUAUUCUUACAGGGCAUCCUGUUUGAAUCAAAGCUCAGGCGGUUAAGGAUGGGCAUGCGUGACAUUAGCUUGUUGGUGAGGUAACGGCUCACCAAGGCUACGAUGUCUAGGGGGUCUGAGAGGAUGAUCCCCCACACUGGUACUGAGACACGGACCAGACUCCUACGGGAGGCAGCAGUGAGGAAUAUUGGGCAAUAGACGCAAGUCUGACCCAGCCAUGCCGCGUGCAGGAUGAAGGCCCUAUGGGUUGUAAACUGCUUUUGUACAGGAAGAAACCCCCGAGUUCUCGGGGGUUGACGGUACUGUGCGAAUAAGCAUCGGCUAACUCCGUGCCAGCAGCCGCGGUAAUACGGAGGAUGCAAGCGUUAUCCGGAUUCAUUGGGUUUAAAGGGUGUGUAGGCGGGGCAAUAAGUCAGUGGUGAAAUCUUUCGGCUUAACCGGAAAACUGUCAUUGAUACUGUUGUUCUUGAGUUCAGUUGAGGUGGGCGGAAUGUGUAAUGUAGCGGUGAAAUGCAUAGAUAUUACACAGAACACCGAUUGCGAAGGCAGCUCACUAAACUGUUACUGACGCUGAGGCACGAAAGCGUGGGGAGCGAACAGGAUUAGAUACCCUGGUAGUCCACGCUGUCAACUAUGAAUACUCGAUGUGUGCGACAUAUUGUACGCGUCUAAGCAAAAGCAUUAAGUAUUCCACCUGGGGAGUACGGCCGCAAGGCUGAAACUCAAAGGAAUUGACGGGGGCCCGCACAAGCGGAGGAACAUGUGGUUUAAUUCGAUGAUACGCGAGGAACCUUACCUGGGCUUAAAUGCAGAUCGACACUCCGGGAAACCGGGGUUCCCUUCGGGGCGAACUGCAAGGUGCUGCAUGGCUGUCGUCAGCUCGUGCCGUGAGGUGUCGGGUUAAGUCCCAUAACGAGCGCAACCCCUAUUGUUAGUUGCCAACGGAUAAUGCCGGGGACUCUAACGAAACUGCCAGUGUAAACUGCGAGGAAGGUGGGGAUGACGUCAAGUCAGCACGGCCCUUAUGUCCAGGGCUACACACGUGUUACAAUGGCCAGUACAAAGGGCAGCUACCUGGUGACAGGAUGCAAAUCUCUAAAACUGGUCUUAGUUCGGAUCGAAGUCUGCAACUCGACUUCGUGAAGCUGGAUUCGCUAGUAAUCGCGCAUCAGCCACGGCGCGGUGAAUACGUUCCCGGGCCUUGUACACACCGCCCGUCAAGCCAUGGAAGCCGG